GUCUACGGCCAUACCACCCUGAACGCGCCCGAUCUCGUCUGAUCUCGGAAGCUAAGCAGGGUCGGGCCUGGUUAGUACUUGGAUGGGAGAAAUCCAGAGUUUCCAUAUAGU
ensembl:rRNA 5S_rRNA 5S ribosomal RNA